rnacentral:lncRNA from 1 species
AUGUUGAUAUUUAAGACUAUACAUACAGUCUCCAAACUUGGUGACAAUGUGGAGAUUCAGAACAGAUUCACUCAACAGUGUUCUCCGUUAUGUAAAAAGGAUUCAACUGCUCGGUCCAGGGUGCAAGCCAACGCAAAAUGUUUUUUUUUUUUUUUUUUGCCAUCAGCUUUAUCGCCACCUGCUGACUGCAUGGCUGAAGUUCACCUUUGGCUUGAAGUGGUUACUGUGCUGCAAGACCGUCUGUUUGAUCUUUGCUGUUCCAGAUCUUCUGAUGAAGACGGAGGCUCUCCAGUGCUUCGUGUUGCAUCUCCACCUCCCCUUAAUUCCUGUCCUCAUCCUUCAGAGAAAGAUCCCAAGGUCAGGAAUUCCAAACAGCACGUGAAAUGAUGACUGCAUGACAAGAACUAAAAGCCCUGGAAGAAGUGGAGGCCUGUAGUUUCAUUUGCACCAUAUUCGGACUACUCAGAGGAACGUGUUUCCUUGCUAGGAGGAGGGAGUGAACUGUGAAUGCUGGAACAGCGAACUAUGAGAUCUAGAACCUGCACAGAAUAGUUCUGCUCGAGUGCAGCCAGGGUCAAACACCGCACACACAUUAAUAACUGAAAUACACCUGCAUACACACGUCCAAAAAAUGAAUUGUUGAUCACACACUCGCUGACAUGGCUUAACACAGUUCUACUACACUUCAUCUCUGGCUGCCAUGUAAAUAAUGUAUAUAACCCUUUUCCCUUUCUCUGUUGGGUUUCAGUUUUGUUAGAUUUUUUUUUUCUUUUUUCUUUUCUUCUCUUUUAUGACAUGCCUUAACAGUUCAGUUUUGCCUGUUAAGGCACACUUAAGAUGAGUAAAACAAACAAAAAAAAGUGUUAACAGUCAGCGAGACUAGCUCUGUGACAUAAUAGCGUGUGAUUUUAUUUAAGAAACCCUUGAAACAUUAUGAACCUGCGAAAUGAUUUAUAUAACAUUUCAAAUGAUCCCCACAAAAGACGUGUAAUUAAUUCUUGGUUGUAACUGGGCAAGUAUGAUGAUACACCCUAAUGUUAAAACCGUUUUUGCUUUGCAUUUUCAAUACUCAAAGGCAGCAAAAAAGUUUCCAGGUCAGAAUUGUGUGUCAAAUGUCUUCAUUUUUGAGCUCAAAAUAGACGUGGCUGUGUAGAAGUACUUUUACUAACACAUGCUUGAGUGUCAGCUUCAGCUGUUACUGAGCUAAAGAUCAGAAAGGAUGGGAUUUGUUGGUGGAGGUGCUGCACAUAGGUCACUCUCGGAGUACGGUAUUGCCCUUUUAAGAUGAUUAAUUGUGUAAUGUUACAGGUCAGAUUAAACUAGAGAUGCCUAAUGUCUUUACUGGUAUGCAAAAACCCAUGUUUUAAAAUGUUAAUGAAGAUAAAAAUACAUGUUUCUCAUAUUGAUUCAGUGUGUGAAGCAACAAUACUGUAUUGACUGUCACAGAGCUGUGUGUUCAUGUUAAAGUGAUCAACUGAAUAACAGUGGCACUGGCUGAUUCUUAAUCAUAAGAGCUUAUACUAGUCAUCCUUACUAUCUAUCACACGCAACCUGAGGUGGAUGUCUUUUGAGAUUUCCAGAGAUACAAGGUCAUAAACCAUUUUGACAAUAAUGUUUGAAUAUUCAUUAUGUAAAUAGUUUUGGGGGUUUCUGGUUUGUUUGAAGAAAAACA